GUCCACGCCGUAAACGAUGGAUGCUAGCCGUUGGUGGGUUUACCCUUCAGUGGCGCAGCUAACGCAUUAAGCAUCCCGCCUGGGGAGUACGGUCGCAAGAUUAAAACUCAAAGGAAUUGACGGGGCCCGCACAAGCGGUGGAGCAUGUGGUUCAAUUCGAAGCAACGCGCAGAACCUUACCAGCCUUUGACAUCCCGGUCGCGAGCACCAGAGAUGGAGCUCUUCAGUUCGGCUGGACCGGAGACAGGUGCUGCAUGGCUGUCGU
rnacentral:rRNA from 1 species